rnacentral:sRNA from 1 species
CAGUGGUGCUGAAGGGAGUCAGCAGCCGCUGACAGUUGGGGUCACCCUGGCCUGUGCAAGGGACAGGGCUCCCCAUGGCCUCCUGGUUGCCUCCCUCAGGGCUGGUAGCAGCACUCCCUGGCCACACGCCAUGGCGCUCCCUCAGGCGAGACUGAGAGGCCAGUGAGGCCUGCACGGUGGCCUCAGCUUCUGGGGUGCCCUUGCUGGGCAGUCCCCUCAGGCCCCUGGCCCUCUCCCACAGCCAUCAAAUCUGGCCAGCGCCCUCGAACCUGGUGAUGCUGAGACACAGGUCAAGUGGCAGCUCAAGAUGUCAGGUCGGGCUUUGCGGACAGAAUUGGACUCGGCGCAGAAGAGGAGGGCGUCAGCGUUUCGGGGACGGUUGGCAGCAGAGGGUGCUGCCCUGCUCUCCGUGGGUGAGAGGUGACUCGAGGAGACCGCAGGAGCCCCUUGGAGGUGAAGCCACAGGUGGCAUCCCGGAAUCGGCAGGAGGCUGAGACGUAGACCCUUGCGUGCUGCUGUCAGAGGAGAGACCCGAAGACUACUUGAGACUGUUGCUUGAAAGCAGUGUCGGCAGCACCUGGACCUGGACUUGUGACGCUGAUGGAUUUCAGCUCUAAAGAGAAACUCCUGUCUAUUCCCAGACAGAGAGAAAGAGCAGAAGAGCAGACUACCUGCAAAGGACAGACUUAGGUCUGAGUUCACUGACACCAUCCUGUCCGUGCACCCCUCUGACGUGCUGGACAUGCCCGUGGACCCGAACGAACCCACGUACUGCCUUUGCCACCAGGUCUCCUAUGGGGAGAUGAUUGGCUGUGACAAUCCAGACUGUCCAAUUGAGUGGUUUCACUUUGCCUGCGUGGACCUUACCACGAAACCCAAAGGAAAAUGAUUUCAUUUAAAUAAAAACCUGUAGUCUGGGCAACAUCGGGAGACCCCAAGUCUACAAAAAAUACAAAAAUUAGCUGGGCGUGGUGGUGCGUGCCUGUGGUCCCAACUACCUGGGAGGCGGAGGCGGGAGGAUGGCUUGAGCCUGGAAGUCCGAGGCUUCAGUGAGCUGAGAUCGCGCCACUGCACUCCAGCCUGGGCGGGAGAGCAAGACCCUGUCUCAAAUAAAUAAAUAAAAAGAUAAAAACCUG